CACGUAGGUGGCAAGCGUUAUCCGGAUUUAUUGGGCGUAAAGGGAACGCAGGCGGUCUUUUAAGUCUGAUGUGAAAGCCUUCGGCUUAACCGGAGUAGUGCAUUGGAAACUGGGAGACUUGAGUGCAGAAGAGGGGAGUGGAACUCCAUGCGUAGCGGUGAAAUGCGUAGAUAUAUGGAAGAACACCAGUGGCGAAAGCGGCUCUCUGGUCUGUAACUGACGCUGAGGUUCGAAAGCGUGGGUAGCAAACAGG
rnacentral:rRNA from 1 species